rnacentral:misc_RNA from 1 species
GAUGAAGAACGCAGCGAAAUGCGAUAAGUAGUGUGAAUUGCAGAAUUCAGUGAAUCAUCGAAUCUUUGAACGCACAUUGCGCCCUUUGGUAUUCCUUAGGGCAUGCCUGUUCGAGCGUCAUUUAAACCUUCAAGCUAAGCUUGGAGUUGGGUGACUGUCCGCUUCACGGCGGACUCGCCUCAAAAUUAUUGGCGGCCGGUACAUUGGCUUCGAGCGCAGCAGAAACGCGAACUCGGGCCCGUCGUAUUGGCUCCCAGAAGCUAUCUUCACAAUUUUGACCUCGGAUCAGGUAGGGAUACCCGCUGAACUUAAGCAUAUCAAUAAGCGGAGGA